CCAGCUUCCCUUGACUUCGGUUGCUCAGCCUUUCCUGCUCUUGGUAAGUUGUCUUUAAAUCAAAGCUUUCAUAGGAAAAGGGCACAGAGGCAUUCGGUGACUCUGGAGGAGAUUCGCUAGGGAUUGUGUUUUGAAAACUUAAGGAACAGCUAGAGCUAUUUUUGGUCAUCUGCAUACUAUCCCUUGCUUUUUCCUGUAGGACUUAUUUCAGUCAUUAACAGUCGUCAACAGGUUUACCAUACCCAUUGAGUCAAUCACCCAUCUCCUACUAACUUCAUGAGAAAUGUCUCCCCUAUAUAUCUUCAUUCUUCUUUGGUAAUCACUCAUAGCCGAGUAAGAUUGUCUUCCAUAAACAUGGUUUUAACAAUGAGUCCCUAAGUGACUGUGGAGGCCAAUUCUGGAUCCACACAUCCUUCCACAGUGGGGACAUUGGUUUCUGGGCAGGAUUUGAUCACGGUGUGGAUUUGCCAAGGGUGCCUUCCUCAUAGCACGUUUCUCCCUUGAGUCCUGACUAUGAGUGUCUUCAGAGCCCAUGACAUCUUUGGUAAAGGCUGUUCUCCAACUGGAACACUCGCAGGCCAGUUGUCAGUGUUUAUACUACAUUUUUUAAAUUUGCCUUUAGACAGUCUUUAAACUUCUUUUGUUGACCACCAGCAUUACACAUUCCAUUUUUAUGUUCGGAAUAGAGUAGUUGCUUUGGAAGAGGAUCAUCAGGCAUCCACAUAACAUGACCAGUUCAACGAAGUUGAUGUUGAGGAAUCAUUGUUUCAACACUGGUGAUCUUUGCUUCUUCCAGUAUGCUGAUAUUAGUUCGCCUGUCUUCCCAAUAAAUGUGUAAAAUUUUUCUGAGACACUGUUAAGGUCUGGUGACUUUUGUUUCAGAGUAUCUGAAGAAGUGUGCAUGCACACAAAAGCUUAUACCCAGAACAAACGUAGUUGGUCUCUAAGGUGCUACUAGACAUUUUUUAUUUUAUUUUUGAGGAGCAGGGUAAUUAGAAAGUUGCAAACUUUCACAUUUGCCUCAUAGAUUUGGUGUGAAUCGCAGUGGAAACAUGAAAAUACUUACAUAGCUGGAAUAGUGUAAUGGAUUUGUUUUAGCCUGAGUGUAUUGUCUAAUCCAGGGACACAAAGUACAUUAUGAGGAAUGAGGAUUCACUCUAUUCACAUACUGAGGGUACUACAGUCGUACCUUGGUUUUUGAACAGCAUAGUUCUCAAACGUUUUGGUUCGCGAACUCCAGAAACCCGGAAGUGACUGUUUGCGAACAAUUUUUGGAAGCCGAACAUCUAAUGGGGCUUCUGUAGCUGCCGAUCGGCUGCAGGAGCUUCCUACGUCCCAUCAGAAGCCGCGCUUUGGUUUCUGAACGCUUAUGAAGUUGAACGGACUUCCGGAAUGGAUUCUGUUCAACUUCUGAGGUACGACUGUAUAGGAGAGGUUUUUUUUAUCUGACUAAGCCUUUAACAAAGUAACCAAGGACCACCUAAGGUCACUCUUUGAACUUGUAUACCCCCCCUCCUCAAAUUUUUAGUUUUGACUCGCCCAAUGCUGUUGCCAUGCAGGUGUGUGAGGAACGAAGACCUCAUUCUCCCCACAAAAAGGGAGGAAAAGUUGGGAGGAUAAGGGGCUUUUUGGUUAUUUUGUGUCUGUAUAUCGCCUUGCUAAAAAUCUAUCUGCUUGGUAUAUUUUACUAUUUCCUGUGAUGUAACUGGACACCACUUUCAGAAAAGAUUGCUCAUAGUAUUUAUUGAUGCAAAAUUUGUAAUUAAACAGAAUCCGAGUAGACAUUAGUGUACACCAUCUUAAAACUUUCAUGUUAUUUUUUCCAGAUUGACACCAGUUGUUCUACGAUGACUACAGCUGUAAUGACACCCAUUAUGAAAUGCAGAAUGCCUGUUGAAGUAAUGACGCAGGCAGACGACGGAACACUUAGGCCGAUGACAAUGUGGGUGGAGAUGGAGAUUGAUGUUAUGAAACCGGGAACAAACACCACUCUCCCCAACCCCAGCCCUGCCCAGAUAACUCAGGCUAGCAUGCUUGCUCCUUCACCAGCAAUGCAGCUGCCUUCACUGAUGCAACCAAAUUCUUUUGCUUACAAUCUCCCUUCUCAUCCAGCAACAGUUCCUAUACUGAGACGAAGAUGAGCUUGUCUCUCUUUUGAAUGGGAUUGUUAUCCCCCACAGGAAUGGGGUGUGGGGAAUGGUACCUGAAAUGCACACCAUGGAUCAACGUCUAAU